ACGCACUGUAAAGACAGCGUUAAAGCUCAACAAUUAAACAAUAUUUAAUUCCAUCAACAAAUUAACCAACUCCUAGACCCACUACUGGACUAUUCUAUUAAAAAAUAGAAGCAAUAAUGUUAAUAUGAGUAACGAGAAACAACUUCUCCCCGCAUAAGUUUAAGUCAGUAUCUGAUAAUACCCUGACUAUUAACAGUAAAUAAAAAUAACCCAAAAAUAAACAAUUUAUUCACCAUACUGUUAAUCCAACACAGGAGUGCACCCAGGAAAGAUUAAAAGAAGUAAAAGGAACUCGGCAAACACAAACCCCGCCUGUUUACCAAAAACAUCACCUCCAGCAUUCCCAGUAUUGGAGGCACUGCCUGCCCAGUGACAAAAGUUAAACGGCCGCGGUAUCCUGACCGUGCAAAGGUAGCAUAAUCAUUUGUUCUUUAAAUAAGGACCUGUAUGAAUGGCCACACGAGGGUUUUACUGUCUCUUACUUCCAAUCAGUGAAAUUGACCUUCCCGUGAAGAGGCGGGAAUAAGAAAAUAAGACGAGAAGACCCUAUGGAGCUUUAACUAGUUAGCUUAAAGAAAAAAACUUUACCACUAAGGGAUAACACUAAUCUUAAUAAACUAACAGUUUCGGUUGGGGUGACCUCGGAGAAUAAAAAAUCCUCCGAGCGAUUUUAAAAACAAGACACACAAGUCAAAUUGAACUAUCGCUUAUUGAUCCAAAAAUUUGAUCAACGGAACAAGUUACCCUAGGGAUAACAGCGCAAUCCUAUUCAAGAGUCCAUAUCGACAAUAGGGUUUACGACCUCGAUGUUGGAUCAGGACACCCCGAUGGUGCAACCGCUAUCAAAGGUUCGUUUGUUCAACGAUUAAAGUCCUACGU
rnacentral:rRNA from 1 species